rnacentral:rRNA from 1 species
UACGUAGGGUGCGAGCGUUAAUCGGAAUUACUGGGCGUAAAGCGUGCGCAGGCGGUUUUGUAAGUCAGAUGUGAAAUCCCCGGGCUCAACCUGGGAACUGCAUUUGUGACUGCAUAGCUAGAGUACGGUAGAGGGGGAUGGAAUUCCGCGUGUAGCAGUGAAAUGCGUAGAUAUGCGGAGGAACACCGAUGGCGAAGGCAAUCCCCUGGACCUGUACUGACGCUCAUGCACGAAAGCGUGGGGAGCAAACAGG